UUGAGAUUCCAAAGUGGUUCAAAUUCAACCAUCAUCAGAUUUUCGGAAAUUCCGUAUCAUUCUUGGUUGGUCCCAAAUUUUCAAAUUUGGUUGUUUGUGUUGCUUUUCCAUCAAAGCUUGUGAACACCAAUAUGAAUAGCCUUUUGUCAAUUAAGAUUUCCAUCAAUGGUGGUAAACAACAAACCAUAUGUGAGACAUUUUGUACUUGCAACAAUGUAUGGUUAGUUUAUGGGAAAGUGAAUAUAUCAAAUCCAUUCGAAGAGAAUCGCAUUGAGGUUGCUGUAAGUGAAGGGAUAAAUAUUUCUCUAAAUAGGAUGAGGAUUUACGUAGAAUGCAUCUGUUGUCCUCAGAAACCCAAUAUAUCUCCUACGUCAUCUAUGGAUCAAUGGGCUUUUAACAAUGGGGAAGAAGAUUCAAGCCAUGUUGGAAUCCGACACCGAAUGCAAAGAAGAAACCAUCGACCAACCCAUGAAAGGUGUCCCCAAAAACACUACAUGUCCCGCUUACUUCGAUUCCAAUUCCAACUCUGGAAACGAAGCUCCAAACCCUGGAGACGGUGAUUUACCAAUGGGUUUCACGAUCAGGGUUCAUCUUCAAUCAAUACCUUUUUCAACUAUGAUAGCAACACCAAUCUGUAUUGACCAUCAUAGAACACAAAAACAUCUUGAUCCAACUUUGAAGAAAAGAUGAUGCCUUGUUGCUAUUAAAGUAAUUGUCAAGCACACAACUGUUCGAUGAAAUACUUCUUCAAGAUAUUGAACCUGGUUGCUUCGCUGACCUAUGCUACUCAUCGAGCCAAUUGUGAAGGGAUGCAACAAACACAUGGGAAGUGGACACUCCUGUUAAACCACAUAAUGAACCUUUCAACAAUUUCCUUGGCAAUGUAGCACAUGAUCAGAUGUUGAAGGGGGGCAGAGGUGGGCUGUAGUUUAAAUGCUUUGUCCAUCCUAGUAUUCUUAUAGCAGUACCUUGUGGCAGAGGGUGGAAAAGUUGAAAUGGCAGCUACUUAUGCGAUGGUGGCUAGGUAUGAUGGUUUUAGCCUAGGGGUGGAGAUGCUGAUUGAUGUAGGCAUAAAAGCAUGGGUAUGAUGUAGGGUCGUAAAUUUUUAUUCAUGAUUUUUAACAUCCCUUAAUGCUUGUGGAGGGGUAUCAAAUACUGGAGAAGAAGAAGCUUGAUUUUAAAUACUGUUAUGAGCAAAUUAGCUUGGGGUUCUUAAAUUUUCUAUCUUUAUUGUAGAGAAAUAGGACAUUCAAGGAAGUCGAAUAAGCUCAAAAGAAGAUAUUGGGCACUCCAUCAAAUUGUAAGACAAGAGUCGAGACUAGUGUGGUUGCUAGAGGGAGGUUCAAGAACUAUUGUUUUUUAUAGAGCAUUAUGUUGUGUUUGGAUAAAAGGUUCUUAAUUCUUAGUGAUAUUCGUUCUUUUGGCAGUCAAAAGUUUGCCACAAUUUGCUUAGAUUCUUGUAACAAUGAGAUGGUUGUUUGUUGUGUUCCUUGCCAAUCAAAGCACAAAAAUUUGGUUGGUCUGUGCUUUUAAAUCAAACAAGUUUGUGCUAGUGCCUGCCACCUUAUAUUUAGUCAUGUUUGAUAAGAUCUUUUUAAAUAAUCUUUCAUAAAUUGGACGGUCUUCAUUUUUCUUUUCCUUUUUCUUUUUUUAAAGGGCCUCAGAUAAAGUUGCAGUUAGUACUUAGUAAAGUUAAACAACUUUGUAAACAAUGAGAUGUACCUAUGUCUUGGAGUGGUUUUCACUUGUUACUAUAUAAUCACUGUAUAC